CCCACUGCAGAAAACAGAAAGAAGAGUAGGUGAGACAGUAAGGCAGGAGCAACACCAAAACUUGUCAUGAGGUUUGUCACUUACGGAACAUUUGUCUAAGGUCAAGAGCUAAGAGUUAGCAAUGCUGAACUACAGUCCUCACAUAUCAGCAAAUCCACGAUUUUUCUUCUUUCCUGUUAUUUACUGCAUUUAAAUCUUGAAAAUCCUAGUAGUGGUGGGGUGGAGGGGGUGAACUUACUAUAAAGUUCAUUCAAGAUUGAGUGCAGAAAUGAAGCACAGUGUUUGUGCCAGGGAUCACCAACUCAAAUAUCUACAGGGAUCAUCCCGGUAAUAGAAAUAAGAGAAGCAGCUUGGGCAUAACAGUAGGAAAAGAUGAGAAUGAUGGCAAACUCUAAAGCGAGCAGUGGCAACAACUUGGUUUACCCCAACUGUCUCCAUGCAAGGAUGUAAGCCCAAUGAUGCUAGAGCUUUUAGUUUUUGAAGAGAAGCCAGAAGUUGUUUGUGAAAUUUUCUGAA
rnacentral:lncRNA from 1 species